UACUUACUCCUGCUCACUCACGCCAAAGAACUCCCCGCUCAAGCUCGCCGUCUCUGCAAGAUUAACGAUGGCAGUUUGCACGCACAACUACUAGAAGAUUUACAUCUGUCAGACAGGUUGCUGACGUCAUCAAGCUUAGUUUGAGUCUGCGCAUCAGAAACGGAAGUGAUAAAAAUCACUAAAAAUGGGCUUCACUUGUCUCAACUGAGUUCCAAUGGGGUCGCUGUGUCCAUUUCUUUUACUGUCUAUGGAGGAAACCGAGCCGAUCCGAACCUUGGAUGAAUAUAUUUGUGCAGAAUUUGAGACAUACAGAAUUACCAUAGGCCCAUUAGAAUCAACAGUCUUUGCCAAACUGGAUCCGCACUACAGAACUUAUGAAGAUGUUUGCAUACUGAAGAAGAGUGCUUGGACAAAUACUGAAACCCUCUUGGUGCUCACUACACAGGCAGGGGUGUCCAGACCUGCUCUAGGAAAGCCAGUGUUCUGUGGAGUUCAGCUCUAACUCACCUGCCUGGAACUUCUAACUAAUGAAAUUGAAGUAUCCAAAUGAAGACCCUAGCAGUAUGGAGUAUAUGGAUACAGACGUUGGCAGCAAUCAGGAGGUGAUCCAGAAGACUCGAGGGAAUCUAUUUGAAGCUGCAGUCAUUGAAGACAGUCGAGCAGAAGUUGGGGUUUUAAAGGAUAAAGUUCUUCAGGACCUAUAGCAGUUUACAGUCUGCAAAACCAUGUUGCUGGGACUGAUAUAUGGACUGAACUUGAGCAACUCUCCUGAACUCAGGUACACAUUUGGAGUACUGAAGAAGUCAUUUCUGGAGCCAGUUCCUGUUCCUGGAAUAAGGUUUGA